CCUACGGGAGGCAGCAGUGGGGAAUUUUGGACAAUGGGCGAAAGCCUGAUCCAGCAAUGCCGCGUGAGUGAAGAAGGCCUUCGGGUUGUAAAGCUCUUUUGUCAGGGAAGAAACGGUGAGAGCUAAUAUCUCUUGCUAAUGACGGUACCUGAAGAAUAAGCACCGGCUAACUACGUGCCAGCAGCCGCGGUAAUACGUAGGGUGCAAGCGUUAAUCGGAAUUACUGGGCGUAAAGCGUGCGCAGGCGGUUUUGUAAGUCUGAUGUGAAAUCCCCGGGCUCAACCUGGGAAUUGCAUUGGAGACUGCAAGGCUAGAAUCUGGCAGAGGGGGGUAGAAUUCCACGUGUAGCAGUGAAAUGCGUAGAUAUGUGGAGGAACACCGAUGGCGAAGGCAGCCCCCUGGGUCAAGAUUGACGCUCAUGCACGAAAGCGUGGGGAGCAAACAGGAUUAGAUACCCUGGUAGUCCACGCCCUAAACGAUGUCUACUAGUUGUCGGGUCUUAAUUGACUUGGUAACGCAGCUAACGCGUGAAGUAGACCGCCUGGGGAGUUCGGUUCGCGAAGNUUAAAACUUCAAAGGAUUGACGGCUUGAGACGNGCGAGCGCGACGAGGAGGAGG
rnacentral:rRNA from 1 species